UACGAAGGGGGCUAGCGUUGCUCGGAAUCACUGGGCGUAAAGGGUGCGUAGGCGGGUCUUUAAGUCAGGGGCGAAAUCCUGGAGCUCAACUCCAGAACUGCCUUUGAUACUGGAGAGCUUGAGUCCGGGAGAGGUGAGUGGAACUGCGAGUGUAGAGGUGAAAUUCGUAGAUAUUCGCAAGAACACCAGUGGCGAAGGCGGCUCACUGGCCCGGUACUGACGCUGAGGUGCGAAAGCGUGGGGAGCAAACAGG
rnacentral:rRNA from 1 species